GAAGCCUUGCUUUGUCUUUAUAGGCUUGGAUGGUUUUGCUCCAGUCCAUGGGCGAUACUCUUGCCUGAAAUGAGAUUAAGAACCAGUAAAACACAACAUAUUCACAAGUUGCCUCCGUGCCUCUGGGUGAAUGCAGCCUACAGGAAGAGCUGGGGCAGAUCCCUGCUACUAGAGGAUAGUGGAGUUGUGUGUGGUUACCAAGGGACAGCCUAGUCCACAGGCCUUUGCCAGAGAGGAAGCCAGAGAGCAACAACCCCUGAGGAAAGAUUAAUGUCUGUAGACUGCAGUGCUACUUUUGGAAAUACUAAGGCCUGACUUAGCAAAAUACAUUGGAGAAUAAAUCGGAUGUCUCUGCACUCCUUGUGCCUGCCGCUUCCUAAUACUGAGUUCAGCUCUGGUGCUGUGUGUCUCAGAGCCCACCUACAGCACCAGGGAGUGCUUUUGAGCUGCUGCUCAUUCUAGCUGGUAGGAUGAAGCUGGCACAAAGGCUAGCUUGGAUAAGGGAUCCAGGAGGCACCGGGUGAGAUUAAAAACUUGUCUGCAUUUAGAAGAGAUUUAUUGUGAUUAAAAGCUGGGGGAGGAGGUAGGAAUACUGCAGCAGUAAAACUAAGGAAAGCCAUCAAAUCAGACAGCAAAGCGGCUGUUGCUGCUAGGAAUGGGGGCUGAAACCUCCAGCAGACAGUUUGUUCUAAUAAUAAAAUGAAAUUCCAAUAGAGCUGUUCACUACAAGGAAACAAAAUACCCCUUAAACAUGGCAAGGCCACAGCAGACAUUCUUAGGGAUCAAAAAAGGGUGAAGGAUUGUGUCUCUACACAAUUAACCAUGACUUUACACUUAGUGCUGUUUCCCUAUGCAAACACUGGCUGCUGUCUCUGCCAAGUCUGCAUAAUCACUACAUUGUAUUCUUAUGCACAAUAAUAGCUCUUUGAAGAGGGGGAGAAAAGUCUUUCCACGUGGUUAGUUUUGUUUUAGGUGACUGGUUCUUUCUGUUAUUGUUUUUUUUUUUUCUGGUUUUGUUUUUGUAAUUCUUCUAAUUUCUUUGUUAUUCAAAGGUGUGACUAAAUACUGAGGUACUGAUGCCAGAUUUUGCAAGAAGGGUAUUUGCUUGCCAGAAAUGUAUUUUGUACUCUAGUGAGCUGUCAUAACUCCAGGCUAUUCCCUGUCUGACUGUUAGCUUUCUUAUUGCAGUUUGAAAGUCAUUUUGGAGCAGAGAAGAUGGUUUACCUUCGUACAUAUGUUAAAUGCCUCUAGAGUUCCUAUAAAUAAGGAAGAUUCAGGUAUCAAAUAGCCUUUACAAGGCUAUUAGGUCUAAAGUUAAGGUAAAGCUUAUGCAUCAGAAGUCCAGCAGAACUGCAGGCAUUGCCUCUGAAGGGACGGCCUGAAAAUGUUGUGGUGUUUACCUGCACGCUUCCUGCCUUAGCAGGUCUAACAGACCACAAGCGGGGCUCCAGCCUGUGCAAGCAAUACAGGGGCAUGACUUUCGACGUCUAAGGUAGGCACUGGCUACUAUGGUGAAGAACUUAAUUGUAACCUUGGCUUAUUCUUCCAGACCUGUAAAACCUAAUGUCAUUCAAGCUUUACAUACUGUUUCCUGCACUAUUACUCCCUGCUGCUUUCAACCAGGAUCUCUUUAAAAAACACCCUCAGCAAAUAGAGAAAUGUUGA